rnacentral:rRNA from 1 species
UACAGAGGUCUCAAGCGUUGUUCGGAUUCAUUGGGCGUAAAGGGUGCGUAGGUGGCGGGGUAAGUCAGGUGUGAAAUUUCGGAGCUUAACUCCGAAACUGCAUUUGAUACUGCCUUGCUUGAGGACUGGAGAGGAGACUGGAAUUCACGGUGUAGCAGUGAAAUGCGUAGAGAUCGUGAGGAAGACCAGUGGCGAAGGCGGGUCUCUGGACAGUUCCUGACACUGAGGCGCGAAAGCGUGGGGAGCAAACAGG